rnacentral:rRNA from 1 species
CCUANGGGAGGCAGCAGUCGAGAGGCUUCGGCAAUGGGGGAAACCCUGACCGAGCGACGCCGCGUGGAGGAUGAAGGCCCUUGGGUUGUAAACUCCUUUUGUUCGGGAAGAAGUGCGAUCAGGUUAAUAAUCUGGUCGUUUGACGGUACCGGACGAAUAAGCUCCGGCUAACUCCGUGCCAGCAGCCGCGGUAACACGGGGGGAGCAAGCGUUGUUCGGAAUCACUGGGCGUAAAGGGCGUGUAGGCGGUCAGGUAAGUGGGAUGUGAAAUGCCCCGGCUCACCCGGGGCACUGCAUUCCAAACUGCUUGGCUUGAGUAUGGGAGAGGAUGAGGGAAUUCCUGGUGUAGCGGUGAAAUGCGUAGAUAUCAGGAGGAACACCGGUGGCGAAGGCGCUCAUCUGGCCCAAUACUGACGCUGAGGCGCGAAAGCUAGGGGAGCAAACGGGAUUAGAUACCCUGNUANUC